rnacentral:rRNA from 1 species
UACAAAGGGGGCGAGCGUUAAUCGGAAUUACUGGGCGUAAAGCGCACGUAGGCGGAGUCGUUAGUCAGGGGUGAAACCCCGGGGCUCAACCUCGGAAGUGCAUUUGAGACUGCAGUGCUCGAGUCCGGAAGAGGAGGGUGGAAUUCCUGGUGUAGCGGUGAAAUUCGUAGAUAUCAGGAGGAACACCAGUGGCGAAGGCGGCGCUCUGGUCCGGUACUGACGCUGAAGUGCGAAAGCGUGGGGAGCAAACAGG